CAGCAGCCGCGGUAAUACGUAGGUGGCAAGCGUUAUCCGGAAUUAUUGGGCGUAAAGCGCGCGUAGGCGGUUUCUUAAGUCUGAUGUAAAAGCCCACGGCUCAACCGUGGAGGGUCAUUGGAAACUGGGAAACUUGAGUGCAGAAGAGGAAAGUGGAAUUCCAUGUGUAGCGGUGAAAUGCGCAGAGAUAUGGAGGAACACCAGUGGCGAAGGCGACUUUCUGGUCUGUAACUGACGCUGAUGUGCGAAAGCGUGGGGAUCAAACAGGAUUAGAUACCCCCGUAGUCCCUGUCUCUUAUAA
rnacentral:rRNA from 1 species